rnacentral:rRNA from 1 species
GACGAACGCUGGCGGCGUGCUUAACACAUGCAAGUCGAACGAAGAGCGAUGGAAGCUUGCACCUAUCAAUCUUAGUGGCGAACGGGUGAGUAACGCGUAAUCAACCUGCCCUUCAGAGGGGGACAACAGUUGGAAACGACAGCUAAUACCGCAUACGAUCUAAUCUCGGCAUCGAGGAUAGAUGAAAGGUGGCAUCCAAACGUAAGCUGUCACCGAUGGAGGGGAUUGGGUCUGUUUAGCUUAGUGGGGGGGCUACGGCCCACCAAAGCGAUGAUCCGUAGCCCGUCCGGGGGGAUGGAUCGCCCCAUCGGGACUGAGACAAGGCCCCGGCUCCUACGGGGGGCAGCCGUGAGGAAUCUUCCGGAAUUGACGGAAGUCUGACCGGGCCACGCCGCCGUAGGUAUGACGGGCUUCCGGUUCUUAAACUUCUUUUGUCAGGGAGAAAUGCAUUCUUGGUAACUGUAAGAGUGAUUGACGGUACCUAACUAGAAAGCCACGGCUAACUACGUG